AUGCCAUUGCUACAUCAUGUACAAAAUUAAGUUGCUUUGAUUUACUUUUUUUAAAUUAUCUUUAAAACUCUAUUCAAAUUUCAAAAGGAGGUUUUUAGUCCGUAGGCACGCUAAGCACUCGUGCUAUGCGUGAAUCGGGCAUGCCCUUCACAACGGUGUGAGGGGCAUCUUUCGAAGAUUUUCCUACCUUGUUUC
rfam:Drosophila persimilis strain MSH-3 cont1.022354, whole genome shotgun sequence.